GAUGAAGAACGCAGCGAAAUGCGAUAAGUAGUGUGAAUUGCAGAAUUCAGUGAAUCAUCGAAUCUUUGAACGCACAUUGCGCCCUUUGGUAUUCCUUAGGGCAUGCCUGUUCGAGCGUCAUUUGAAACCUCAAGCUCAGCUUGGUGUUGGGUGUCUGUCCCCGCCUCACCGCGGGGACUCGCCUCAAAAUCAUUGGCGGCCGGUACGUUGGCUUCGAGCGCAGCAGAAACGCGAACUCGAGGCCCGGCGGAUCGGCGACCAGAAGUCACUUCUUCACAGUUUGACCUCGGAUCAGGUAGGGAUACCCGCUGAACUUAAGCAUAUCAAUAAGCGGAGG
rnacentral:misc_RNA from 1 species